rnacentral:tRNA from 1 species
CAGAAAGUAGUUUAAUUAAAAAAUUUUAAUUUUGGAGAUUAAAGAUGGAAUAGUUCUUUUUCUGA